rnacentral:rRNA from 1 species
ACGGAGGUGGCGAGCGUUACUCGGUUUGACUGGGUGUAAAGGGUCCGCAGGCGGUUUAACAAGUAGAAAGUGAAAUCCUUCGGCUUAACCGGAGAACUGCUUUCUAAACUGUUAAACUAGAGGAUGGGAGAGGAGAACGGAACUGUCAGUGUAAGGGUGAAUGCUGCGGAUAUUGACAGGAACGUCAGUGGAGAAGUCGGUUCUCUGGUCCAUUCCUCACGCUCAGGGACGAAAGCUAGGGGAGCAAACAG